rnacentral:rRNA from 1 species
AUUGAACGCUGGCGGCAGGCCUAACACAUGCAAGUCGAGCGGAUGAAGGGAGCUUGCUCCUGGAUUCAGCGGCGGACGGGUGAGUAAUGCCUAGGAAUCUGCCUGGUAGUGGGGGAUAACGUCCGGAAACGGGCGCUAAUACCGCAUACGUCCUGAGGGAGAAAGUGGGGGAUCUUCGGACCUCACGCUAUCAGAUGAGCCUAGGUCGGAUUAGCUAGUUGGUGGGGUAAAGGCCUACCAAGGCGACGAUCCGUAACUGGUCUGAGAGGAUGAUCAGUCACACUGGAACUGGGACACGGUCCAGACUCCUACGGGAGGCAGCAGUGGGGAAUCUUGGACGAUGGGCGAAAGCCUGAUCCAGCCAUGCCGCGUGUGUGAAGAAGGUCUUCGGAUUGUAAAGCACUUUAAGUUGGGAGGAAGGGCAGUAAGUUAAUACCUUGCUGUUUUGACGUUACCAACAGAAUAAGCACCGGCUAACUUCGUG